GAUGAACGCUAGCUACAGGCUUAACACAUGCAAGUCGCGGGGCAGCAUGGGGGUUGCUUGCAACCCCCGAUGGCGACCGGCGCACGGGUGAGUAACGCGUAUCCAACCUGCCCUUCACCACGGGAUAACCCGGCGAAAGUCGGACUAAUACCGUAUGUUGUCCAUUGACGGCAUCCGAUUUGGACGAAAGGCUUGGCGGUGAAGGGAUGGGGAUGCGUCCGAUUAGCUGGACGGCGGGGUAACGGCCCACCGUGGCUACGAUCGGUAGGGGUUCUGAGAGGAAGGUCCCCCACACUGGAACUGAGACACGGUCCAGACUCCUACGGGAGGCAGCAGUGAGGAAUAUUGGUCAAUGGGCGUAAGCCUGAACCAGCCAAGUAGCGUGCAGGAUGACGGCCCUAUGGGUUGUAAACUGCUUUUAUGCGGGGAUAAAGUGGCCCACGUGUGGGCUUUUGCAGGUACCGCAUGAAUAAGGACCGGCUAAUUCCGUG
rnacentral:rRNA from 1 species